UGCAAAUGAUGAUGAAAUCAAGUCUUGUUUCUCAAAACAUUUGCAGUUGCCACCUAAGAGCUUUCGCCCUGUCAGACUUCAUAGCUGAUGCAGCUAGAUCCUUCCUUGGAUGUCUGAUGCA